GAUGAAGAACGCAGCGAAAUGCGAUACGUAAUGUGAAUUGCAGAAUUCAGUGAAUCAUCGAAUCUUUGUACGCAUAUUGCGCUCUCUGGUAUUCCGGAGAGCAUGCUUGUUUGAGUAUCAGUAAACACCUCAACUCCCUUUUCUUUUUUGAAAUUGGAGCUGGACUUGAGUGAUCCCAACGCUUUCUUCCAAGAAAGUGGCGGGUUGCUUGAAAUGCAGGUGCAGCUGAACUUUUCUCUGAGCUAUAAGCAUAUCUAUUUAGUCUGCCUAAAAAACAGAUUAUUACCUUUGCUGCAGCUAACAUAAAGGAGACUAGUUCUUGUGCUGACUGAUGCAGGAUUCACAGAGACAGCUUCGGCUGACUUUGUAAACUCGAUCUCAAAUCAAGUAAGACUACCCGCUGAACUUAAGCAUAUCAAUAAGCGGAGGA
rnacentral:misc_RNA from 1 species